rnacentral:rRNA from 1 species
GGAAGUAAAAGUCGUAACAAGGUUUCCGUAGGUGAACCUGCGGAAGGAUCAUUACCGAGUUAGGGUCUUGUAGGCCCAAUCUCCAACCCUGUGUAUAUAUAAUUUCGUUGCUUUGGCAGGCCUGUCUUUGACCAGACUGCCGGAGGUCCCCCGGACCGCCGGAGAGUGCCUGUCAGUAGCCCCCAUUUUAAAUUCGUGAAUAAUCGUGACGUCUGAGUUGAGAUAACAAAUAGUUAAAACUUUCAACAACGGAUCUCUUGGUUCUGGCAUCGAUGAAGAACGCAGCGAAAUGCGAUAAGUAAUGUGAAUUGCAGACCUUGUGAAUCAUCGAAUCUUUGAACGCACAUUGCGCCCAUUGGUAUUCCGAUGGGCAUGCCUGUUCGAGCGUCAUUAUCAACCGUCAAGCUUGGCUUGCUAUUGGACUUGCUGUCCGGCUGAAGGACACGUCCCAAAGACAAUGACCGUGUCGAGUGUGACCCUAGAUGCAAUGAGCUUUGUUAAGCACGCAUGUAAGGGGCCGCCCGGCCCGGCCUCGAACCAUUUUUCUCAGGUUGACCUCGGAUCAGGUAGGGAUACCCGCUGAACUUAAGCAUAUCAAUAAGCGGAGGA